rnacentral:rRNA from 1 species
GAUGAACGCUGGCGGCGUGCCUAAUACAUGCAAAUCGAACGCUGGAAAUCUAGCUUGCUAGAUUGAAGGAGUGGCGAACGGGUGAGUAAUACAUAAGCAACCUACCCACGAAGACUGGGAUAAUCUCUGGAAACGGGGACUAAUACCGGAUAGGUAAUCGGAAGGCAUCUUCUGAUUAUUAAAGGUUAAAAACACUGGUGGAUGGGCUUAUGGCGCAUUAGUUAGUUGGUGAGGUAACGGCCCACCAAGACGAUGAUGCGUAGCCGGCCUGAGAGGGUGAACGGCCACAUUGGGACUGAGACACGGCCCAGACUCCUACGGGAGGCAGCAGUAGGGAAUUUUCGGCAAUGGGGGAAACCCUGACCGAGCAACGCCGCGUGAGUGAUGACGGCCUUCGGGUUGUAAAGCUCUGUUGUAAGGGAAGAACGGUAGAUAGAGAAUAUCUAAAUGACGGUACCUUACCAGAAAGCCACGGCUAACUACGUG